UCGUGUCGUGAGAUGUUGGGUUAAGUCCCGCAACGAGCGCAACCCUUGUCAUUAGUUGCUACAUUCAGUUGGGCACUCUAAUGAGACUGCCGGUGACAAACCGGAGGAAGGUGGGGGAUGACGUCAAGUCCUCAUGGCCCUUAUGGGUAGGGCUUCACACGUCAUACAAUGGUCGGUACAGAGGGUUGCCAACCCGCGAGGGGGAGCUAAUCCCACAAAGCCGAUCGUAGUCCGGAUCGCAGUCUGCAACUCGACUGCGUGAAGUCGGAAUCGCUAGUAAUCGUGGAUCAGCAUGUCACGGUGAAUACGUUCCCGGGUCUU
rnacentral:rRNA from 1 species